UGACAAUGGUGUUCGGAACAGGUGGCUUCA
rnacentral:piRNA from 1 species